CCUACGGGAGGCAGCAGCAAGGAAUCUUGCGCAAUGGGCGAAAGCCUGACGCAGCAACGCCGCGUGGGGGAAGAAGGCCUUCGGGUUGUAAACUCCUUUUGCAGGGGAAGAUAGUGACGGUACCCUGCGAGUAAGCCACGGCUAACUACGUGCCAGCAGCCGCGGUAAUACGUAGGUGGCGAGCGUUGUCCGGAUUUACUGGGCGUAAAGCGCGCGUAGGCGGCUUGUUAAGUCUGGGGUGAAAUCUCCCGGCUCAACUGGGAGGGGUCCUCGGAUACUGGCAGGCUGGAGGGGAGCAGAGGAGAGCGGAAUUCCCGGUGUAGGGGUAAAAUGCGUAGAUAUCGGGAGGAACACCAGUGGCGAAGGCGGCUCUCGGGGCUCUACCUGACGCUGAGGCGCGAAAGCCAGGGGAGCGAACGGGAUUAGAUACCCGGGUAGU
rnacentral:rRNA from 1 species